UAACGGCGAGUGAAGCGGCAACAGCUCAAAUUUGAAAUCUGGCCUCUUUGGGGUCCGAGUUGUAAUUUGUAGAGGAUGUUUCGGGUACCGCCUCGGCCUAAAUUUCUUGGAACAGAAUGUCAAAGAGGGUGAGAAUCCCGUCUUGGACCGGCGGUAGGGCCCAUGUGAAACUCCUUCGACGAGUCGAGUUGUUUGGGAAUGCAGCUCAAAAUGGGUGGUAAAUUUCAUCUAAAGCUAAAUAUUGGCCAGAGACCGAUAGCGCACAAGUAGAGUGAUCGAAAGAUGAAAAGCACUUUGAAAAGAGAGUUAAACAGUAUGUGAAAUUGUUGAAAGGGAAGCGCUUGCAACCAGACUUGUGCUCGGCGGUUCCCCCUUCCUUUUGGUUGGGUUAUUCCGUCGUGUCCAGGCCAACAUCGGUUCUGGGGGUCGGUCAAAGGCCUUGGGAAUGUACCUACCCUUCGGGCGUAGACUUAUAGCCCUUGGUGUCAUGCGGCCUCCCGGGACCGAGGAACGCGCUUCGGCUCGGAUGUUGGCGUAAUGGUUGUCAGCGACCCGUCUUGAAACACGGACCAAGGAGUCUAACAUCUAUGCGAGUGUUUGGGUGUCAAACCCGGAACGCGGAAUGAAAGUGAACGGAGGUAGGAAGCUUCGGCUGCACUAUCGACCGAUCCUGAUGUCUUCGGAUGGAUUUGAGUAAGAGCAUAGCUGUUGGGACCCGAAAGAUGAUGAACUAUGCCUGAAUAGGGUGAAGCCAGAGGAAACUCUGGUGGAGGCUCGCAGCGGUUCUGACGUGCAAAUCGAUCGUCAAAUUUGGGUAUAGGGGCGAAAGACUAAUCGAAUCAUCUGGUAGCUGGUUCCUGCCGAAGUUUCCCUCAGGAUAGCAGUAACGUUUUCAGUUUUAUGAGGUAAAGCGAAUGAUUAGAGGCCUUGGGGUUGAAACAACCUUAACCUAUUCUCAAACUUUAAAUAUGUAAGAAGUCCUUGUUGCUUAAUUGAACGUGGACAUUUGAAUGUACCGUUACUAGUGGGCCAUUUUUGGUAAGCAGAACUGGCGAUGCGGGAUGAACCGAACGUGAGGUUAAGGUGCCGGAAUGUACGCUCAUCAGACACCACAAAAGGUGUCAAUGCAUCCAGACAGCCGGACGGUGGCCAUGGAAGUCGGAAUCCGCUUAGGAGUGUGUAACAACUCACCGGCCGAAUGCAUUGGCCCUGAAAAUGGAUGGCGCUUAAGCGUGCUACCUAUACCUCGCCGUCAGGGUUGACAUGAUGCCCUGACGAGUAGGCAGGCGUGGAGGUCCGUGACGAAGC
rnacentral:rRNA from 1 species